rnacentral:rRNA from 1 species
AUUGAACGCUGGCGGCAUGCUCUACACAUGCAAGUCGAACGGUAACAGGCCGCAAGGUGCUGACGAGUGGCGAACGGGUGAGUAAUGCAUCGGAACGUGCCCAGUCGUGGGGGAUAACUACUCGAAAGAGUAGCUAAUACCGCAUACGAUCUAUGGAUGAAAGCGGGGGACCGUAAGGCCUCGCGCGAUUGGAGCGGCCGAUGUCAGAUUAGGUAGUUGGUGGGGUAAAGGCUCACCAAGCCAACGAUCUGUAGCUGGUCUGAGAGGACGACCAGCCACACUGGGACUGAGACACGGCCCAGACUCCUACGGGAGGCAGCAGUGGGGAAUUUUGGACAAUGGGCGCAAGCCUGAUCCAGCAAUGCCGCGUGCAGGAAGAAGGCCUUCGGGUUGUAAACUGCUUUUGUACGGAACGAAACGGCUCUGGUUAAUACCCGGGGCUAAUGACGGUACCGUAAGAAUAAGCACCGGCUAACCACGUG